rnacentral:rRNA from 1 species
UAUGAAGGGGCUAGCGUUGUUCGGAUUUACUGGGCGUAAAGCGCACGUAGGCGGAUCGAUCAGUCAGGGGUGAAAUCCCAGGGCUCAACCCUGGAACUGCCUUUGAUACUGUCGAUCUGGAGUAUGGAAGAGGUGAGUGGAAUUCCGAGUGUAGAGGUGAAAUUCGUAGAUAUUCGGAGGAACACCAGUGGCGAAGGCGGCUCACUGGUCCAUUACUGACGCUGAGGUGCGAAAGUGUG